AGUCACUGACAUUAGAUACCCCUGUAGUCCCAGCCGUAAACUAUGCGCGUUAGGUGUAUCGGUGACCACGAGUUACCGAGGUGCCGAAGGGAAACCGUGAAACGUGCCGCCUGGGAAGUACGGUCGCAAGGCUGAAACUUAAAGGAAUUGGCGGGGAGCACAACAACAGGUGGAGCCUGCGGUUUAAUUGGACUCAACGCCGGACAACUCACCGGGAACGACAGCAAUAUGUAGGCCAGGCUGAAGACCUUGCCUGAAUCGCUG
rnacentral:rRNA from 1 species